rnacentral:misc_RNA from 1 species
AACAAGGCGUACCUGCGGACCUGCGGAGGGAUCAUUACAAGUGACCCCGGUUUACCACCGGGAUGUUCAUAACCCUUUGUUGUCCGACUCUGUUGCCUCCGGGGCGACCCUGCCUUCGGGCGGGGGCUCCGGGUGGACACUUCAAACUCUUGCGUAACUUUGCAGUCUGAGUAAACUUAAUUAAUAAAUUAAAACUUUCAGCAAUGGAUCU